UAAUUAUUGAGCAUCGUGAACAAGGAAAAUCAAUUAAAGAAAUAUCUGACAUGUUUAGAGUAACUUCCCGCAUAGUCAUGAGAAUUUGCAGGAACUACACACAGAAGAGAACAAUAUCUCCAAUGAAACCAAAAGGGCGACUGAGACUGACUACUAGAGAGGAGGAGGAAAAUCUGGCUCAUUGCAGUAAGGCUAACCCAUUUAAAGUAGCCAAAAUACUUAAAUCUGAAUUGGCACUACCUGUUUCGCUACAAACAGUUCAAAGACGGUAUGUCCUUUUAUAAUAAACAUAAAAACAAAAUUUUUAUACAUUUAUAAGUUUAUUAUAAAAGGACAUACUGUCUUUGA
rnacentral:lncRNA from 1 species